ACUUCGGGGCGGGCGGCCCGCCGGGUCGCGGCCUGGCGCUGCGGGGCGGGGAGCGGCUCGGACGCAGGACGCCGCGGGCCGGGCUUACAGGUGGGAGAGGCCCCGACCCCGCCGCUUCGCAGGCCAGCUUCCUGCUGUGUUCCCUGCACCCACCGAUCUCACACGCAGCCCUAGGACAGACGUCCACUGGCCUGAGUUGGGUCUGGGGCCAACACGGAGCAGGUGGGGGUAGAGCAGCUCUGCUCGCCUGGAGGAAAGUUGAAUGGCUGGAACCAAGAUGACAGAUGGAGGCUGGCAGGCAAACACGGGAGGCCUCCUCACUCCAAGAGGGGAGUCAGCCUGGGGACAGUUCUUCUCCAGGCCCUGCUGCUCCCAUCAGCUGCAACACAGGAGAGGUAGGCUUCUCCGGAAAAGCUCCCACGGUCCUGGAUCCCGCUCCACCUUCUAGAAGCUCCCAGCGUUACUUCCUGAGCUGGCCUGCACAUCGUUGCGCUACUCCCGUCCAAGGGGGGACAUAUUCGGUGACCGACUCAGAACGCAGCCUGCUUCCCGGGUGGCCAGUGGCUCAGCAGUCUCGGUGCCUGAGCCUGCUCCCUCCGCCCGGCGGCUGGGCAGGUGGCUGAAUGCGGGCUGGAGGCCUUCCCUGAGAAGACGGUUAUCCAUGCUGUACAUGGAAGUGACCAGCUCGGCACCUGAGGAGACACACCGCGGCCGAUGACAGGCGCAGAGCAGGACGUGGUGAGGUCCUCAUACCUAGGAAUGCAGAACAAGGGCAAGAAACUCGGUGCCCGCCUGGCAUCUGCCCUGCACCAGUGGCCUCCAGGAAGUUCUCCACCAAGGAUGUUCCCCAGGCACUCUGUGCUCGCCUUCACCAGCGUCCUGUGAGGUCUUUCACACUGAUGGGGAAGCCUUUCUAAAGGGUAUUAGGGGGCUUGGGGGCUGGGGGUGCUGAGUACCAAGGGUCCCAGGAAGAGACAGGCCAGGCUUAUGGGCUGGGCAUCCAGAGAUCGCCCUGACGCCAGCUCCAGGUGGAGUUAGGAGGGCACUCUUGUCCCGACGCAUUUACAGACCACUCCCUCUUCUUGUUCCCCUCGACUCUGAGAGUGUGGUGGGGUAGCUGUGGAACCUGACUGCUUGCCUGAAGGUUGGGCAGCGUGGCUAGAAAUUGCGGCCCAGACCUGGGAUCUCACCCACACCUCUAUGAGACGUCCUGAAGGAAACCAUCGACUGAGCGGAGAGGCUUCGCCUUGCCCGCCUCCUCCCAGGAAGGAAGAGCGGAAGAGGCGUCGCCAGCCACCGAGACUGCCAGCCACCACCCCCUCCCAGACUCUCUGUCCCCACCCCAGACCAGGGUCACCUUCUUCCUGCACUGGGGGUGGGGUGCGGUAGGUUUCGCAAUCCAGACUGUGGGGUGGGGGUGGGAGCAGGUGUGUGUAAAUGAGCAGCUCGUCAGGAGUCACUGAGAAGGAGGCAGAUGGAGCUGGUACCCAGCAGGUCUCCUCUCAUAAGCGUCAACCCUCGCCUGGGCGGGCUGGGGGAUCCUCAGCACCCCAGCUCUGAGCCAGGGGUCUGCAACCCGGGCACCAGCGAUGGGCCCUCAUGCACACAGGGCGCCGAGCGGGGCCGGAGGCAAGAGUGACUUCAGACAGGAACCCGACGCCACAGCCGGUGACGCGGACCCUGGGUCAGCCAGCACGAUGGGCCGCUGGGGAGAGGAGGGCUGGAGGCAGAGAGUGUAAGUGUGCAGCCUUCAUCAGCUUAUUUUUAGUCGCGUUAUGUAAGUGGCUUCAUCUCAACGUCACAUGGGGGGGGGUCUCAGAUUUAAUUACAGGAUGACAGCCUUUGCUUUUCAAGCAAGCUGUUCUCCUGGCAAGCCAGGCGAAGGAUUGGGGAGUUUUGCUAAACAGAAGGAGCCCUUUCUGAGGUGACCACCCGUCAAAACUUGAACCCGCUUCCACCUCCGUCUCCCUCUUCCCGACCAGCCUCACCCAGCCUCGGCUGAAUGUGGCCUGAGAGUAGCCACUUGUCCGCAAUCACAGGGACGUUUUAUGCCUGUCAAGGGAGCUUCCUCUCUCCUCUUCCUCCCCCUCCCACCUUCUGCCUGGCAGCUUUGCCUUCUCUCCAAGAGAAGGGUCCACCCAAUCAGAACUCCUCUUCCUUUUCAUUCCUGGAUUAAAGCACUUGUAAUCAGUAACCAGAAAGUUCCAGAGCGGGAGAGACCGGAAGGCACUGGAGUGCUAUCGGACGGGUGUCUGGGGCAGAGCCAGGAGGGCGAGCCUCUUCUCUCCCCGCCUGCCCUUGCUCACUUCCCCCUCCAUGCCAGGUGCUGUGGGAGCAGCUGGGCCUGGCCGGGGUCGGCGGGUGAAGCUAUCCGCAUGGUGUCUGGAGCACCGUUUCUUUGCUUCCUGGAUGGGCUGGAUGGGCUCCCGUGUUCUUCACCAAUGGCAGCGUUACCAGCACCAAUGGCAGCGUUACCAGCAAGAAGGCAAAGGCAGGAGCACAUCGAGGGUGGGAGCCAGGGCUGUGGGGUCAGGAGUCCCGCUCCUUGCCGCGGGAAGCCUGGCUCAGCCACCUCCAGCACACUUCGGCUUUGUCCAGCAUAAAAGGCAGAGCGACGUUUUCACUGCAGGCUGUUUCCCACCAGGGCAAGUGGGACAGGGCGAGUGCUGACGUCUGCAGGCAUGGUGUGCAUUUAGGGGUGGGCGGCACCGAGGGGGCAUCAUUUGGCAUAGGCGGGCCCGGGGGCCACUGGGCUAGAUGACUGGCUGGUUGCUGGGGGCAGGUGUCACAGCCUCUCUGAGCACCCUCUAAGUGGAGGACAGAACAUUGUUGGGAGGAGUCCAGGCAUAAAGUGACAUAAACAGCGCAGAGAAUGGGACCAGCGCACCUGAGAGGUGAUCAUUAGCCUCAGCAACUGGAUGGGACAUUCCGAAGAGCUCCCAGCCAACACAGAUGGUCACUCCAGAGGCUGACAUUUAAAAGGAAGGGGCCCGGCCGGGCACAGUGGCUCACGCCUGUAAUCACAACACUUUGGGAGGCUGAGGCGGGCAGAUCAACUGGGGUCAGGAGUUCAAAACCAGCCUGGCCAACAUGGUGAAACCGCAUCUCUGCUGAAAAUACAAAAAAUUAGCCAGGCAUGGUGGUGGGCACCUGUAAUCCCAGCUACUCAGGAGGCUGAGGUAGGAGGAUCGCUUGAACCCAGGAAGUAGAGGUUGCAGUGAGCCGAGAUUGUGCCAUUGCACUCCAGCCUGGGCGACAAGCGAAACUUCGUCUCAAAAUAAAUAAAAGUAAGGGGCACAGGGAGGGGGCCCCAGCUCGUGCCCCUUCUGUGUGGGCUGCACAUGGUGACUUCCUUCCAGAGAGCACAGAGUGGGAGGUAGGCAAGGCGUCUCCACAGUGGAGAGCCCGACCCACUGUCUCAGCCCAGAGGUCAAGGCUGGCACCAUCACCGAGAGGUCACACGGGCAGAUGUGACAGGGCGCUUCACCACUGGGCUCUUCCUCCCAGACCCAUAACCCUUGUCUUAGUAUUAGAAAAACACUGGCAGACCGGGCGCAGUGGCUUACACCUGUAAUCGCAGCAUUUUGGGAGGCCGAGGUGGGAAGAUUGUUCAAGAGCAGUCUGGGCAACAUGGUGAGACCCCAUCUCUACAAAAAAAAUUUUUUUUUUAAUUAGCCAGGCGUGAUGGCACAUGCCUGUGGUCCUAGCCACUAGAGGCUGAGGUGGGAGGAUCACUGGAGCCCAGGAGGUCAAGGCUGCAGUGAGCUGUGAUCACACCACUGCACUCCAGCCUUGGCGACAAACCAAGACCCUGUCUCG
rnacentral:lncRNA from 1 species